rnacentral:lncRNA from 1 species
AAUUAAAAAUAAAAAAUAAAAUAAAUUCAUAAAUAUCAUGUUCGCAAUAUUAUUUUCAAAUAAAAAAUCAUGAAAAUACAAUUGAAUGGGUUUUGGGUAUAAUUGGCCCGUUCCAUUCCAUUAAUGAGAUGGACAUGAGGAAAAAUGGUGAUUUUGAAAAAUGUUUUAUAAUUAGGAUAACCGGGGAUGGUCUUCAAGAUCAAAGGGUAUACC